rnacentral:rRNA from 1 species
GGGGAAUUUUGGACAAUGGGCGCAAGCCUGAUCCAGCCAUGCCGCGUGUCUGAAGAAGGCCUUCGGGUUGUAAAGGACUUUUGUUAGGGAGCAAGUCCUGCAGGUUAAGAGCUAGUAGGGAUGAGAGUACCUAAAGAAUAAGCACCGGCUAACUACGUGCCAGCAGCCGCGGUAAUACGUAGGGUGCAAGCGUUAAUCGGAAUUACUGGGCGUAAAGGGUGCGCAGGCGGUAUUGUAAGCCAGAUGUGAAAUCCCCGGGCUCAACCUGGGAACUGCGUUUGGAACUGCAAUGCUAGAGUGUGUCAGAGGGGGGUGGAAUUCCACGUGUAGCAGUGAAAUGCGUAGAGAUGUGGAGGAACACCGAUGGCGAAGGCAGCCCCCUGGGAUAACACUGACGCUCAGGCACGAAAGCGUGGGGAGCAAAC